rnacentral:lncRNA from 1 species
UAUAUUUUAGUUUUUAAAAUUUUUAGAAAUAUUUUUAGGGGAUUAUAGCGUUAAUAAAAAGAAGAAAAUGAUCAAAUUAUUCCUAUUUAUUUUAUUAAAAAAAUAAAUUUUAAUAUAUUUAUAUUAUUUUUAAAAAUUAAUUUUAUUUGAACAAGGGAUUUUUGAUCCAGUAAUAUUUUCAGAUCGUUGUUGUUCGACCCAAAUUUUAAAAUAUUGAUAUUUUUGGCGGAUUUAUGGGUACAUAUGUAUAUAUAUAAUUAUACGCAAUUACCAAGUAGACCUUACGAAGUAGGUGUAAAAUUUAUACCCUAGGUCGUAUUUACUCAUUUGUUUAAUUAUUUUCUAACUAAAAACCUAAAAAGAGUUGUGUAAAAUUUACACCCUUCUUUUGAUCCGUCUCAAUUUGCUAAAAAAUUUCUGCCACCCCGACACAUCCUAAAUGGAGGGGUGAAUAAGAGCUAAAAAUAGGAUAAAAUCUAUUUUUCAUCUUGAAUUUGUUCCGUCUUGCCCAAAAUAACAGGGCGAGAAGCGAAGGUUCCCUUCUAUUCUCGGAUUCAUUCCGUUUGCAUUCCUUGUCUCUUCUUGUUGUCUCAAUUCUCACUACGGAUGUCAAUGGGUCGGAUUCGGGCAUCUUUCUCAAAACUCAAACUAAAUCCUAAAUUCGAAAUCCGAAUCCAAACUCAAACCUGACAAAAAAAUCCAAAACCUGAAUCCAAAUCUGAAAAUCCAAAUCCAAAAUAAUGUCUUUACCAUAUUUCAAAUUUCAAAUCAUAUUAUAUUACAAUCGAAAUUUUUAAAAUACAAUUCAUAAACAUAACAUCAAACAUUCACACAUAUUACAUAAUAUAAAAUUACUCCAGAUUCGGGCCGGGUUCGGAUUCGGAUUCGGAUAUGGUAGGGACAAAAUUCAUAUUUGACUCCAAAUCCAUCAUAUAUUUGUUUUUUAUAUUCGUACCCGAAACCACAUCCAUUUAGUUCGAAUUUGAUUUCGAAUAAAAUUUUAGGUACAAUGCCUAAUUAUCGAAAAAUUUUAGAAUACAACAGUACUUAUAUAUUACUGAUAUGAUAUCUCCAAUCAAUCAAAAAAAUUUCUGAGAUUUACUUAUUCCAUAUUCCCAUCAUGAUUUUUAUAAAAUACUUUUAUUAUAUUUUUCUCUUAAAAAAAUUAUAUAAUUGUUUAAAAAUAAAUAAUAUAGUAUAAGUAUUAUACAGCAGACUUUUCCCUAGUGAGCCUCUUGUUUCCAUGGCCGACGUGAGAAAGCAAAACCUGCAAAAGUGGGUAAUAUAUUGUAAUGAUAAUUAUUGCCCUCAGGCCAGCGCAUGCCAUAGGCUGUCAACUACGUAAUGACGAAAGGCUCUCUCUCUCUCUCUCUCUCUCUCCCCGUAGCCAACAAGAAAGCAGGCCAGCGCAUGAGGCUGUUGAUAUACUGAUAAUACUAUUAACAUGCCACGGACUUUCAACAAAGCAAUGACGAAAGGCUGUUUAUAUGCUGAUAAUACUGUUAACAUGUUGGAAGAUGUCUUCGAUAAAUUCUUUUAUAGGGGCAAUUGCUUAGAGUAGGUCUUGUGUGCUAUUAGGAGCACGGAGACCUCCGUGCUCCUAAGCUGUUUUUGAUGAUAGAGUUUUCGAAUCGAUGAUCUGCUCCGUUAGACCUGAUCUGGCAUAUUUGAAGUACCUAGAAAAUAAAUUUUGCGAUUUUUUGAUAUCAUUUACCUAAAGAUCGAAAGGGUUUAAAAUCAAUAAUUUUUAAUGGUUGAUAUAUACCGUUUGCAAGUUUAAUGGUGUAGAAGUAUUCAAAUCAGAUUAAAUUUUGCUAGAAAAUUCUUUAUACUAUUUACAGCAAGAUCAAUAUCUUUGAUCGAAAAUUUUAGUGCUAUAUCACCACUUUUUUUGAGAUUUUUAUUUUCAGCCGUUGAUUUUGAACCAUUUCGAUCACUAGGUAAAUGAUAUCGAAAAAUCGCAAAAUUUAUUUUUUAGAUACUUCAAAUACGCUAGAUCAAGUUUAACGGAACCGAUCGUCAAUUCGGAAGCUCCAUCAUCGAAAACGGCUUAGGAGUACGGAAACUUCCGUGCUCCUAAUAACACAUAAGACCUACUCCAAUUACUUAUAUACUCUUAAAAAGUUUUCGACUUUCUAAUUUAUCUCUUUUAGAAAGCUAAUAUUAAAAAUACCUUUUUUUACGUUACCAAAUUAUUUCAAAUAUAUCUCUAUAGUUAAAUUCUAUUUUAGUGAACUAUUAACAAUAGUUGUUAUCUCUGUAAAAUUAUUAUUUUGCCUUUUUCAAUAUAUCAACCAACUUUUUUUAUUUGCUCUUAAGUUAGAGACAAAAAAAAAAAAAAGAUUUUUGUAACUCUGGUGAAUAUAUUUAACUAAUGUUUAACCCGAGAUAAUUUAGCAGGUGGUAACUGCGGUGGUAUUUUUUAAUAACAGAGGAAUGUAUGAGUGGUAUAUUGGAAACAAAAAAAAAUGUAGGAGUAAAUUAAAUAUUUUUCGAAAUUUUGAAAGGUAUAUAGGUAAUUAUUCUUUUUUUAUAAUUAAAAAAUUAAAAUAUAAAAAAUAAUUUUAUAAAUAUUUAUUAUUAAUUUUUUUUCUAUUUUUUAAAAUAUAUAUGUUGUCUUUUUAAAAUUUUAAAAAUAUUUUCAAAGGUUUAUUAUGUUAAUAAAGAGGGUGAAGUGAACGAAUUAUCCACACUUGUUUUGUAAGGAAAGAUUUUUUUUAAUAUAUUUAUGUUAUUUUUAAGAUAUUUUCAAUCUAAAUUAUAAGAAAUUAUCGGAAUAAUAAAGUUAACUAUUAUAAGAAAUUAUAAGAAAUUUCUUAUAAUAAAUUUAGUUGUAUAAGAAAUUUUCAAAAGGUUUAUUUUUAAAGAUUUUUUUAAUAAAUUUCUUAUUAUAAAUUAUAAGUAAUUUAUAAUAUUAUAAAGUUUUAGUUGUAUGCCUUGUAUAUAAU